rnacentral:lncRNA from 1 species
UUUAUUCUUGAAUUUGCACUCGCAAUCUGUCAAAGUAAAUCCUAUUUGAUAUGAUAUACGUUUCUUUGAUGAUUAUAUGAAUAUCUAUUAUGCCUUGAUAUGGGACUUGUCAGUAACUCCAUGCUAACGGAGAGUAGUUAGCCUGUGUGCACAUAGUAUUCUGUAUGUAUACCUAGCUGGUGAGAGAGGCAUCAGCCUGUGGCGACUGAUCAUCCCACAGUGGUCACCUUCGGGUGUCAUCUGGUCUGGUCACCUUCGGGUGUCAUCUGGUCACCUUCGGGUGUCAUCUGAUCUCUGACAUAUAGUCCACUACGUUAUGAUGAUACGUUUAGUAUGUAUAUGAUAUGUAUAUGUAUAUGUACAUCAAGAUAAAUGAUCUCAAGAAUAUCUAAAAUGUAUAUUAAUUAUUAUUCCCUCACUGAGUUGGUUGAACUCACCCCUCAUUCUUAAUAUUAUUUCAGGUUCUUAGUUUCUGAUAGCAGGUGAACCUUGUUGAGUGUUCCUGCUUCUUCAGUUUUGGGUC